rnacentral:rRNA from 1 species
GUCUACGGCCCUGUCAUCCUAAACAAGCCCAAUGCCAUCUGAUCUCAAAAGCUAAGCAGGGUCGGGCCUGGUUUAUACCUGGAUCGGAGACCACCUAGGAAGACCAGGUGCUAUAGGCU